rnacentral:rRNA from 1 species
AGUGAACGCUGGCGGUAGGCCUAACACAUGCAAGUCGAACGGCAGCACAGUAAGAGCUUGCUCUUACGGGUGGCGAGUGGCGGACGGGUGAGGAAUACAUCGGAAUCUACUUUUUCGUGGGGGAUAACGUAGGGAAACUUACGCUAACACCGCAUACGACCUACGGGUGAAAGCAGGGGAUCUUCGGACCUUGCGCGAUUGAAUGAGCCGAUGUCGGAUUAGCUAGUUGGCGGGGUAAGGGCCCACCAAGGCGACGAUCCGUAGCUGGUCUGAGAGGAUGAUCAGCCACACUGGAACUGAGACACGGUCCAGACUCCUACGGGAGGCAGCAGUGGGGAAUAUUGGACAAUGGGCGCAAGCCUGAUCCAGCCAUACCGCGUGGGUGAAGAAGGCCUUCGGGUUGUAAAGCCCUUUUGUUGGGAAAGAAAAGCAGCAGGUUAAUACCCCGCUGUUCUGACGGUACCCAAAGAAUAAGCACCGGCUAACUUCGUG